GAUGAACGCUGGCGGCGUGCUUAACACAUGCAAGUCGAACGAAGCACUUAUCUUUGAUUCUUCGGAUGAAGAGGUUUGUGACUGAGUGGCGGACGGGUGAGUAACGCGUGGGUAACCUGCCUCAUACAGGGGGAUAACAGUUAGAAAUGACUGCUAAUACCGCAUAAGGCCACGGAGCCGCAUGGCUCAGUGGGAAAAACUCCGGUGGUAUGAGAUGGACCCGCGUCUGAUUAGGUAGUUGGUGGGGUAACGGCCUACCAAGCCAACGAUCAGUAGCCGACCUGAGAGGGUGACCGGCCACAUUGGGACUGAGACACGGCCCAAACUCCUACGGGAGGCAGCAGUGGGGAAUAUUGCACAAUGGGGGAAACCCUGAUGCAGCGACGCCGCGUGAGCGAAGAAGUAUUUCGGUAUGUAAAGCUCUAUCAGCAGGGAAGAAAAUGACGGUACCUGACUAAGAAGCACCGGCUAAAUACGUG
rnacentral:rRNA from 1 species